GGUUGUAGCUCAGGGGUAGAGCGCUUGCCUAGCACGUGCAGGGCUCUGGGUUCGAUCCCCAGAACCA
rnacentral:tRNA from 1 species